rnacentral:rRNA from 1 species
UACGUAGGGUGCAAGCGUUGUCCGGAAUUAUUGGGCGUAAAGAGCUUGUAGGCGGUUUGUCGCGUCUGCUGUGAAAUUUCGGGGCUCAACCCCGAACUUGCAGUGGGUACGGGCAGACUAGAGUGUGGUAGGGGAGACUGGAAUUCCUGGUGUAGCGGUGAAAUGCGCAGAUAUCAGGAGGAACACCGAUGGCGAAAGCAGGUAACUGGACUAUUACUGACACUCAGCUGCGAAAGCUAGGGGAGCAAACAGG